CCUACGGGAGGCUGCAGUAGGGAAUCUUUCACAAUGGGCGAAAGCCUGAUGGAGCAACGCCGCGUGCAGGAUGAAGGCCUUCGGGUUGUAAACUGCUUUUAUAAGCGAGAAAUAUGAUGGUAACUUAUGAAUAAGGAUCGGCUAACUACGUGCCAGCAGCCGCGGUCAUACGUAGGAUCCGAGCAUUAUCCGGAGUGACUGGGUGUAAAGAGUUGCGUAGGUUGCAUAAUAAGUAGCUAGUGAAAUCUGGUGGCUCAACCAUUCAGACUAUUAGCUAAACUGUUAAGCUCGAGACCGUUAGGGGUAACUGGAAUUUCUAGUGUAGGAGUGAAAUCCGUAGAUAAUAGAAGGAACACCAAUAGCGUAGGCAGGUUGCUGGGACGGUUCUGACACUAAGGCACGAAAGCGUAGGGAGCAAACGGGAUUAGAUACCCGUGUAGUC
rnacentral:rRNA from 1 species